UACAGAGGAGGCAAGCGUUGUUCGGAAUUACUGGGCGUAAAGGGCGCGUAGGCGGCCUUCUAAGUCGAACGUGAAAUCCCCGGGCUCAACCCGGGAACUGCGUCCGAUACUGGAAGGCUUGAAUCCGGGAGAGGGAUGCGGAAUUCCAGGUGUAGCGGUGAAAUGCGUAGAUAUCUGGAGGAACACCGGUGGCGAAGGCGGCAUCCUGGACCGGCAUUGACGCUGAGGCGCGAAAGCCAGGGGAGCAAACGGG
rnacentral:rRNA from 1 species